rnacentral:rRNA from 1 species
GGGGUGUGCACCAUGGCCCAGUUCCGGCCAUCCUCGGGGAGAACGUGUGCUGGCAUUCGGUUGUCGGCGGCGGUAUCCCCGUCAUUUACUGUGAGCAAAAUAGAGUGUUCAAAGCGGGCUUACCCCUUUAAAUACAUUAGCAUGGAAUAAUAAGAUACCACCUUGGGUCUAUUUUGUUGGUUUGCGGUCCGAGGUAAUGAUUAAUAGGGAUAGUUGGGGGUAUUCGUAUUCAAUUGUCAGAGGUGAAAUUCUUGGAUUUAUGGAAGACGAACUACUGCGAAAGCAUUUACCAAGGAUGUUUUCAUUAAUCAAGAACGAAUGUUAGGGGAUUGAAGAUGAUUAGAUACCAUCGUACUCUUAACCAUAAAAUAUGCCGAAUAGGGAUUGGCUGGCGUUGUUUGAGACCCAGUCAGCACCUUACGAGAAAUCAAAGUCUUUGGGUUCCGGGGGGAGUAUGGUCGCAAGGGUGAAACUUAAAGAAAUUGACGGAAGGGCACCCCCAGGAGUGGAGCCUGCGGCUUAAUUUGACUCAACACGGGGAAACUUACCAGGUCCAGACAUAGUGAGGAUUGACAGAUUGAGAGCUCUUUCUUGAUUCUAUGGGUGGUGGUGCAUGGCCGUUUUUAGUUGGUGGAGUGAUUUGUCUGGUUAAUUCCGAUAACGAACGAGACCCCCGCCUGCUAAAUAGUGGGCGCAAUGCGUUGCAUUGCGACUCGCUUCUUAGAGGGACUUUUGG